rnacentral:rRNA from 1 species
GGCAGCUACACAUGCAAGUCGAGCGGUAGAGAGAAGCUUGCUUCUCUUGAGAGCGGCGGACGGGUGAGUAAUGCCUAGGAAUCUGCCUAGUGGUGGGGGAUAACGUUCGGAAACGGACGCUAAUACCGCAUACGUCCUACGGGAGAAAGCGGGGGAUCUUCGGACCUCGCGCCAUUAGAUGAGCCUAGGUCGGAUUAGCUAGUUGGUGAGGUAAUGGCUCACCAAGGCGACGAUCCGUAACUGGUCUGAGAGGAUGAUCAGUCACACUGGAACUGAGACACGGUCCAGACUCCUACGGGAGGCAGCAGUGGGGAAUAUUGGACAAUGGGCGAAAGCCUGAUCCAGCCAUGCCGCGUGUGUGAAGAAGGUCUUCGGAUUGUAAAGCACUUUAAGUUGGGAGGAAGGGCAGUAACCUAAUACGUUAUUGUUUUGACGUUACCGACAGAAUAAGCACCGGCUAACUUCGUGCCAGCAGCCGCGGUAAUACGAAGGGUGCAAGCGUUAAUCGGAAUUACUGGGCGUAAAGCGCGCGUAGGUGGUUCAGUAAGUUGGAAGUGAAAUCCCCGGGCUCAACCUGGGAACUGCUUUCAAAACUGCUGAGCUAGAGUACGGUAGAGGGUGGUGGAAUUUCCUGUGUAGCGGUGAAAUGCGUAGAUAUAGGAAGGAACACCAGUGGCGAAGGCGACCACCUGGACUGAUACUGACACUGAGGUGCGAAAGCGUGGGGAGCAAACAGGAUUAGAUACCCUGGUAGUCCACGCCGUAAACGAUGUCAACUAGCCGUUGGGAGUCUUGAACUCUUAGUGGCGCAGCUAACGCAUUAAGUUGACCGCCUGGGGAGUACGGCCGCAAGGUUAAAACUCAAAUGAAUUGACGGGGGCCCGCACAAGCGGUGGAGCAUGGUGGUUUAUUCGAGCACGCGAGACCUUACCUGGNNUGAC